AGAUAGAGAGAGAGAGAGAGAGAGAGAGAGAGAGUUACGAGAGAAUAAAAAAAAAUGUCGAUUUCUUUCUCUCUCUCUCUCUCUCUCUCUCUAAAG
rnacentral:misc_RNA from 12 species